UUUGAGGGGACUGUUGUCUGGUUCAAGGCCAUCAAUUAAUUAUAACUUUGAUUCAGGUGUGUGUGUGUAUGUAUAUAUAUAUAUGUGUGUGUGUGUUCUCGGACCAGGCUUCAUUCCCCUUAAU
rfam:Citrus sinensis cultivar Ridge Pineapple sweet orange scaffold00444_contig_19, whole genome shotgun sequence.